AGCAGGAAGGGCUCCUGAACCCCCUGGAGGGGUUCAUGGGGCGCAGCAGGUAGCAAAUGCAGGGUCCGAGAGACAGAAGCAGCAGGCCGAGCUGGAGGGGGUGGACAUCUGAGCUGAGGAAUUAUGGAAACCUUCCCUGUCACUCAGAUUGACUCAGGCCCCUUCUUGUUCCCACUGCAGGAAUGGCAGGAAGAUCAGCCCUGAGCUAACAUCUGCUGCCAAUCCUCCUCUUUUCGCUGAGGAAGACUGGCCCUGAGCUAACAUCCGUGCCCAUCUUCCUCUACUUUAUACGUGGACGCCUACCACAGCAUGGCUUGCCAAGUGGUGCCAUGUCCGCACCCAGGAUCUGAACCGGUAAAUCCCGGGCCGCCCCGAAGCGGAAUGUGCGCACUUUACCACUGCGCCAUGGGGCCGGCCCCAAUGUUAAUUUUUUUAAAGAGCUAUAUAUAAGUGGUAUUAAAUGGAAAAAAAAGAAAAAC
rnacentral:lncRNA from 1 species